GACGAACCGUGCAAACGUUGUUCGGAAUCACUGGGCUUAAAGGGCGCGUAGGCGGGCUGUCAAGUCAGGGGUGAAAUCUUUCGGCUCAACCGGAAAACUGCCUUUGAUACUGACGGCCUCGAGGGAGGUAGGGGUAUGUGGAACUUCCGGUGGAGCGGUGAAAUGCGUUGAUAUCGGAAGGAACGCCGGUGGCGAAAGCGACGUACUGGACCUCUUCUGACGCUGAGGCGCGAAAGCUAGGGGAGCGAACGGG
rnacentral:rRNA from 1 species